AGUCGAACGGAAAGGCUCCUGCUUGCAGGGGUACUCGAGUGGCGAACGGGUGAGUAACACGUGGGUGAUCUGCCUUGUACUUCGGGAUAAGCCUGGGAAACUGGGUCUAAUACCGGAUAGGACCAUGCUUUAGUGUGUGUGGUGGAAAGUUUUUUCGGUACAAGAUGAGCCCGCGGCCUAUCAGCUUGUUGGUGGGGUAAUGGCCUACCAAGGCGACGACGGGUAGCCGGCCUGAGAGGGUGUACGGCCACAUUGGGACUGAGACACGGCCCAGACUCCUACGGGAGGCAGCAGUGGGGAAUAUUGCACAAUGGGCGCAAGCCUGAUGCAGCGACGCCGCGUGAGGGAUGACGGCCUUCGGGUUGUAAACCUCUUUCGCUAGGGAAGAAGCCAUUUGUGGUGACGGUACCUGGAUAAGAAGCACCGGCUAACUACGUGCCAGCAGCCGCGGUAAUACGUAGGGUGCAAGCGUUGUCCGGAAUUACUGGGCGUAAAGAGCUCGUAGGUGGUUUGUCGCGUCGUCUGUGAAAUCCCGGGGCUUAACUCCGGGCGUGCAGGCGAUACGGGCAUAACUGGAGUGCUGUAGGGGAGACUGGAAUUCCUGGUGUAGCGGUGAAAUGCGCAGAUAUCAGGAGGAACACCGAUGGCGAAGGCAGGUCUCUGGGCAGUAACUGACGCUGAGGAGCGAAAGCAUGGGUAGCGAACAGGAUUAGAUACCCUGGUAGUCCAUGCCGUAAACGGUGGGCGCUAGGUGUGGGGAUCUUUCUACGAUUU
rnacentral:rRNA from 1 species